AGUGGGGAAUAUUGCACAAUGGGGGAAACCCUGAUGCAGCCAUGCCGCGUGUGUGAAGAAGGCCUUCGGGUUGUAAAGCACUUUCAGCGAGGAGGAAAGGUUAACGGUUAAUACCCGUUAGCUGUGACGUUACUCGCAGAAGAAGCACCGGCUAACUUCGUGCCAGCAGCCGCGGUAAUACGAGGGGUGCAAGCGUUAAUCGGAAUUACUGGGCGUAAAGCGUACGCAGGCGGUUUGUUAAGCGAGAUGUGAAAGCCCCGGGCUCAACCUGGGAACUGCAUUUCGAACUGGCAAACUAGAGUCUUGUAGAGGGGGGUAGAAUUUCAGGUGUAGCGGUGAAAUGCGUAGAGAUCUGAAGGAAUACCGGUGGCGAAGGCGGCCCCCUGGACAAAGACUGACGCUCAGGUACGAAAGCGUGGGGAGCAAA
rnacentral:rRNA from 1 species